rnacentral:rRNA from 1 species
UACAGAGGUCUCAAGCGUUGUUCGGAUUCAUUGGGCGUAAAGGGUGCGUAGGCGGCGCGGUAAGUCGGGUGUGAAAUCUUGGAGCUUAACUCCGAAACUGCAUUUGAUACUGCCGUGCUUGAGGACUGGAGAGGAGACUGGAAUUUACGGUGUAGCGGUGAAAUGCGUAGAUAUCGUAAGGAAGACCAGUGGCGAAGGCGGGUCUCUGGACAGUUCCUGACGCUGAAGCACGAAGGCCAGGGGAGCAAACGGG